CAAGAUUGUGCGUGGCAGUGAUGGCAUCACCUCAACGAUCUAUCAACGUGCCACGUCCGACAGGAAGCGCCAGUCGAGCUAAGCGUUUUGUCAGUCACUCCGGCAGGUACCCUAUCGAGAUAGGACGGCAGAGGGGAGGGGGACAUGCAUUCAGCAGUAGUGGGUGCGGAACGCAUCGAUCAUGGCACGAUGAGGACGAUUAAUCUUGCCCUCCUGCUUGGAACCCUGCGAUCAGGACCGAUCUCGGGUAGCCGGCCUGAGAGGGUGUACGGCCACAUUGGGACUGAGAUACGGCCCAGACUCCUACGGGAGGCAGCAGUGGGGAAUAUUGCACAAUGGGGGGAACCCUGAUGCAGCCAUGCCGCGUGUAUGAAGAAGGCCUUCGGGUUGUAAAGUACUUUCGGUGAUGAGGAAGGUGGUGUAUCUAAUAGGUGCAUCAAUUGACGUUAAUUACAGAAGAAGCACCGGCUAACUCCGUGCCAGCAGCCGCGGUAAUACGGAGGGUGCGAGCGUUAAUCGGAAUGACUGGGCGUAAAGGGCAUGUAGGCGGAUAAUUAAGUUAGGUGUGAAAGCCCUGGGCUCAACCUAGGAAUUGCACUUAAAACUGGUUAACUAGAGUAUUGUAGAGGAAGGUAGAAUUCCACGUGUAGCGGUGAAAUGCGUAGAGAUGUGGAGGAAUACCGGUGGCGAAGGCGGCCUUCUGGACAGAUACUGACGCUGAGAUGCGAAAGCGUGGGGAGCAAACAGGAUUAGAUACCCUGGUAGUCCANGCNGUAAACGNUGNGCGNUNUGGNGUUUGUUGCCUAGAGUGAUGGGCUCCGAAGCUAACGCGAUAAAUCGACCGCCUGGGGAGUACGGCCGCAAGGUUAAAACUCAAAUGAAUUGACGGGGGCCCGCACAAGCGGUGGAGCAUGUGGUUUAAUUCGAUGCAACGCGAAGAACCUUACCUGGUCUUGACAUCCACAGAAUCUUGCAGAGAUGCGAGAGUGCCUUCGGGAACUGUGAGACAGGUGCUGCA
rnacentral:rRNA from 1 species